UUACUAUUACGCUGCACAAAUUUCUUCAAUGAUGUAUAAUAACUAAGUAGUAGGCGUUAUCAUGAAGCCUUCGACCAUGAAUAUUCAGAGUAAAAGCUAAAAUUUCUGAACGCAACGGCCACGUUCCCGCGAACAGAACUGUCAACUUCAUUGUGUUUAUUCAUGUAAGCCGACGACCAUUAGGGCAUAAUAAAAUAAAACGUUUUUAACUGAAAAUAACAGUAAACAUUUUAUAAGAAAGCGAACGAAUGUUUAAUGCAUACAUAACUAAAAUUCCGAAAAGGAACAUAAACGUCGGCAAGUGAAGAAUGAAGCGAGUUAAUUUUGACUUUGUUGGAAGGAGGCACCGCGCCAGAAGGUUGAAUAUGGGAAUAAUCCUUCUAGGACAAUCUUGUUGUUUGCUUGCAGAUAUAUAAUUACGAACAUUACAAAACAACAAUGACCCGGACAAGAUUAAAAAAAAAAAAAAAAAAAAAAAAGUCUGCCUUGUUAAAUUACUGGUGCUCUGAAGAUGAACCCAGAGACUCAAGCUGUGGCUGGUGAGACGUUUGUCAGUUGGGAACAAGGCUAGGUAUCGAAAUGAAACAAAAUAAAGUUUCCUGUGACCUGUUCCCUCACUGUGAUGAUUUAGCACUCAAUAAAUUGUCUGCUGUAACCAGCUAUGAAAAGGUAAUGUCACUCUUAAGUGACCACUGGUUUUUUUUGUGUGAUUAUUAUCACUGAGAAUCUUACCUAAGGCAGCUGUUCAAUUAUUAAAUCACAAUCAAUGGCAUAAGAGGUUUUUAAAUCAUUUACUUAAACAUGCUGUUGACAAGUGGUGUUUUAAGAAAGUUUAGCAGAAGUACUAAUGACUUAUAAAUUAUUGUAAGUCCUAAAGCCCGGUACUUUAAACUUCAAGGGCUCAACUAUCAAUAUUUUUUUCUAAUGUAUGUUUUGCUGUUGCUUUUCUUUGUUAUCAUAUUAUAAAGUAUUUAUUACUUAUUUACUAACAACAUACAAAAACCCUGGUCAAAAGCAGCAAUAAGGAAACGGAGCAACACUUUCCCCUCUGUGUCACAAUGUGGUCACACUCAGCGACACCACAACAGCCUGUGUUCAUUUAGAACAAAUUCUUGAAAGUUGUGGUUAACUUAAAUACACUUUUUUCAGUGCAAUGACAUCAUAUUUACAAGGAGUCAAGGAUUUUGUCCUGGUUAAUCAUACAAAAUUCCCUUGUGAUCUGUGCCAAUACCUACAGUUAUUCUGAAAAAUGAUUACUAUUGAGCAAUCGACAGUCAAUACUAGGAAGUUAUGUGACUGUGAUAUAUACUGUGUGUACAAAAUAUAUGCCUAUGAUGUUCUUACACAAGAAUAUACACUUUACACAGCUUAAUAUUUAACUAAAACAUUUUAUGUACAAAACCCUAAGGGAAGUAAAUACAGUUAUAUUUUUAAUAUAAGUAAAUUGAUUGCAACUAAGCAGUUUAAGUUAACAAAGCAUUGGAAUUGCCAUGAAACUAAUUGUUGCAUGAACACUUUUUACUUGAUUUUAUGAGUGUAGAAAAUAUCUCUGAUUCAUGUGGAAAGCUGAGAUUACAGUUUUAAGUCCUGUCAUUAGACUAUUUGACUAUAUGUCUCUCUAGCUAUGUGUCAGACCUUUCAUGAAGUGUCCAAGAUCUAGAGGUCACACAAUGAGCAACUGUUAGAUGUUAUAUCUAUUGUCCUUAUGAUAAAUGUUUUUUAGACUAUGUAGGUACCUAUACAAGAUGCACUCUAUUAUUCUUGAUACCAUAUGGAGCUAGGUAUAAUCAAAUUAAACUAGCUCCUUAGUACCUUAGAAAGCUGUCUAAUAUCUGGACUUAUUUCUUUACCCAAUAAGAAAUAAUGUCAACAUAUCACCUAGUGUGACUUAUUUUGGUGGCUAAUUGAAAGUAAAGGGUUAUAAAUAUACUUUUUGAAGAUAUUUAUUUACUAUACAGUAAUAGUUUAUCGACCUGCUGGGGCAACCGUGUGGAAAUGAGUUAUCUGUGGGAUUAUGGAAGGAGCCUAUUAAUAGAAUACAUUACAUUAAUUUUAUUCACCUUAAUGGUGGUCUUUAUAUUUAAAGACGUUUCUUUCCGAUUUACCAGACUGACAUAUUUCUGAGAAAAUACAACACAGCUAUCUCAAUUAUAAACCGCUUUGGUGAACUGAAAUACUACUGUACAAUAUUUUUACCUCAAAACAAUGUUGAGGAACAAUUGGCAUUGGUGUGAAACGAGACAUAACAAUAUUAGUCUUAAAUAUUAUAGAUGAACUGUGUCAUAGCUGAUUGAGAGAUAACUAUAUAAGAUUUCGGAGAUUAAACGUAAAUUAAACAACGAAUAUUUAGAAAUUUCCUGCAUCAUUUUGGAACUCAUAUACCGAGUUAUUGGAGUCGCGCAGAUGAAAUAUGUGAACGCUAUAUAUAUCCUGGUGUAGUAACCCAGAUAUUUUUUCUACAUAGAUGCUUGCACAUUUUCUUUGAUGAAUUAUUUUAUCUAUGCUUUCCUUCCAUUCGAAAUGAAAUUUAAGGUACCUAUUAAAGUUUUAGGAAAAGCAGAAGACAUGGCAAUAACCAUAUUGUACACAGUUUUUACAAAUACUUACAUGUUACAUACAAUUGUAUAGAUUUGAGCCCCAGCUCACAUUUAUAAAAACUUAUUCCAUUAACCGGCAGUUUCAGUAGUGUCCUUGCCUGGUUACCCCGGUGUUAUCCGGGAAGUUCCAUCACUGAAGCAGCGGAAAAGAGGAGAAGGAGAAAGGAGGAACUUUCGAUUGGUGCGGCCAACAGCAUGGUGGGGUGGAGUCUCUUAUGCCCAACACCGUCAAGCAGUAUCGUAAACACUUGAAACACUGGUAUUUGUGGGCCAAGCUGUUCCAUCUGUUGCCAUAUUCACUGCCAGCAUGAGCUACGAGCAUAGCGGAUACCAAGUGUUUUUUCCGCUUUGUAGCGACAAGUGCCUGAGAAUAGAGAACCCUAGCAGGUUACUGGCAGUGAAAGUGUUGUGUCUUGGCUUGUUACUCUAAACUAAAUGAAGUUGACAGUUCUGUUCGCGGGAACGUGGCCGUUGCGUUCAGAAAUUUUAGCUUUUACUCUGAAUAUUCAUGGUCGAAGGCUUCAUGAUAACGCCUACUACUUAGUUAUUAUACAUCAUUUCGAAAUUUGUGCAGCUAAUAUAAUUAGAAUUGAACUUCACUUACAGGUAAGUUCGUUUAAUUUCUAAGCAUAACUUUUCCAUCUUU